AAAAAAUACAAUUUGCAUAGCAAGAAACGCACAUUACACAUUUGUAUUUAAAUUAACAAUCAUUGAUUUAAACUUUUAUUGAACAUCAUAAGAUAAUAUACAAUUUACAAUGCUAAAAAUUAUUCAAGAGUGCAUGGCUUGUAGGAUUUCUAAAUUUUCUGUAAAAUCCUCUACCUGGAUGCACAGACAAAAUAAUUGAGCUCACUUUUCAUUUGAUAAAAACAUUGCUGCCUUUCAUGAAUAUAAAAUUCAUUUGUUUAUUCAUUCUUUCUCUUUUAUACAUGUCAAAGUUCUCUUUCAUACAAACAUGGAGUACAACAGACUCACAUACAUUCAUCUUAACAAUGUACUGUGAAACACUAAAUUUCAAACUUCUUGAGUAACAAAACAAAUGAAAUAUUCCAUAGAACACCUAAAUAAAGGGCUAUACCUAGGACAGCAUGAUAUGACCACAGCAGCUAGUAAAUAAACAUAGAAUAAUGGUAUUUUGGGUUUUUAUUAAUAGUGACUUAAUCAUUAGGAAUAUUGAGCCUUGGGGCAAGCUGAUAUUCUAGCUGAUGAAGUAUGUGAAAAAAGAAAAAAAAAUAUUUUGAUCAGUCAUUGGUCAUUACUAUAUGUUUUGUUUUGGUUUUGAAUAUGAGACUACCAUAAUGUAGCUGCCAAAACUGUUUUCAAGAGUUUGAAGCAUUGUUAUAGUUCAUUUGAAUGAAUGAAGGUGCAUGCUUUUCAUUGGUAAAUGUUGACAUGGCCUGACUUGAAAAUGUAAUAAUGGUGCAUUGUUAUGUGACAUUAUUGCUUGAUAUUUUCCAGUAUCACAUCAUAUCUUGAUCUAACUAUCUAUCUAGGCAGUAGGAUUAAAGUGAAAAUGUACAAAUUUCAGAAAGAGUUUUUUUCUUCCUUAUUUACAUGAAAGUAUCUUCAUAAAUAGCUUUUUGUUUGAUGAAAAAUGAAUUAAAAAAAAAAACAUAUUAUAUACAGUGUGUUAAUCUGUAAUUAUGGCUGCUUUGGCAGUGUUCUCGUAGGUACUAAAUAAGAGUUACAAUUGCAAGGAUUGGAAUUUAUUCAUAGACUUUAAAGAAACUAAUCUUUUAUCAAUAGGUUAUCAAAACAUUUACAUGUAUUUUGUUCACAAAUUUUUUUUUUUUUUAUUUAAUAGUAACUAAAGUUGGAAUUC
rnacentral:lncRNA from 1 species